CCUACGGGGGGCUGCAGUGGGGAAUAUUGGACAAUGGGGGGAACCCUGAUCCAGCCAUGCCGCGUGUGUGAAGAAGGCCCUCGGGUUGUAAAGCACUUUCAGUGAGGAAGAACGCCUGGUGGUUAAUACCCAUCAGGAAAGACAUCACUCACAGAAGAAGCACCGGCUAACUCCGUGCCAGCAGCCGCGGUAAUACGGAGGGUGCGAGCGUUAAUCGGAAUUACUGGGCGUAAAGCGCGCGUAGGUGGCUUGAUAAGCCGGUUGUGAAAGCCCCGGGCUCAACCCGGGAACGGCAUCCGGAACUGUCAAGCUAGAGUGCAGGAGAGGAAGGUAGAAUUCCCGGUGUAGCGGUGAAAUGCGUAGAGAUCGGGAGGAAUACCAGUGGCGAAGGCGGCCUUCUGGACUGACACUGACACUGAGGUGCGAAAGCGUGGGUAGCAAACAGGAUUAGAUACCCCAGUAGUC
rnacentral:rRNA from 1 species